GACGUAGGGCGCGAGCGUUGUCCGGAUUUAUUGGGCGUAAAGAGCACGUAGGCGGCUUUGUAAGUCGGAUGUGAAAUCCCUCGGCUUAACCAAGGAAGUGCAUCCGAAACUGCAAGGCUUGAGUACUUAAGAGGAUCGCGGAAUUCCCGGUGUAGAGGUGAAAAUUCGUAGAUAUCGGGAGGAACACCAGUGGCGAAGGCGGCGAUCUGGGAAGAUACUGACGCUGAGGAGCGAAAGCGUGGGGAGCGAACAG
rnacentral:rRNA from 1 species